CAGUCAUGUAGGCAAAUCCGCAUGGCGUGCAUGGCGAGGUGUGAUGAUGGGAGCCUUUUGGCUCGAUAUCCGGUUGUCCAGGCCGUCGAGAAAAGCCUCGGCGUGAGGGCCAUGGCCGCCCUUACCCCAAACCGACACUGGUGGUCAGGUAGAGAAUACCAAGGCGAUCGAGCGAAUCCUGGUCAAGGAACUCGGCAAAUCACUCCCGUGCCUUCGGUAUAAGGGAGACCCGCUGGGGUGAACCGGCUAGCCCGGGGAGCUUUGGUGGGUGGCACAGACCAGGGGGUAGCGACUGUUUACCAAAAACACAGGUCAUGCGAAGGCGAAAGCCGCUGUAUAUGCACUGACGCCUGCCCGGUGCCGGAAGGUUAAGAGGAUCCGUCAACUCUUCGGAGCGAAGCGGUGAAUUCAAGCCCCGGUAAACGGCGGUGGUAACUAUAACCAUCCUAAGGUAGCGAAAUUCCUUGUCGGGUAAGUUCCGACCUGCACGAAUGGCGUAACGACUUCCCCACUGUCUCGACCAGGAGCUCGGCGAAAUUGCAGUACGAGUAAAGAUGCUCGUUAAGCGCAGAAGGACGAAAAGACCCCGGGGCCUUUACUAUACCUUGGUAUUGGCGUUAGGCGCGGAUUGUGUAGCAUAGGCGGGAGGCUUCGAAGCGGGUGCGCCAGCAUUCGUGGAGCCGCAAGGUGAAAUACCGCUCUGUUCUCGUUUGACGUCUAACCUCGACAAGUCAUCCUUGUCAGGGACAGUGCCUGGCGGGUAGUUCAACUGGGGCGGUUGCCUCCCAAAGAGUAACGGAGGCGCUCAAAGGUCCGCUCAGCCCGGUUGGCAAUCGGGUGUCGAGUGUAAUCGCACAAGCGGGCUUGACCGCGAGGACGACGGUCCGAGCAGGGACGAAAGUCGGAGAUAGUGAUCCGGUGCCGGCGCACGGGCGCGGCAUCGCUCAACGGAUAAAAGGUACCCCGGGGAUAACAGGCUGAUCAUUCCCAAGAGUCCAUAUCGACGGGAUGGUUUGGCACCUCGAUGUCGGCUCGUCGCAUCCUGGGGCUGGAGCAGGUCCCAAGGGUUCGGCUGUUCGCCGAUUAAAGCGGCACGCGAGCUGGGUUCAGAACGUCGUGAGACAGUUUGGUCUCUAUCCUCUGCGCUCGUUGGAAUCCUGAGGAGGCCUGCCCAUAGUACGAGAGGACCUGGGUGGACGAACCUCUGGUAUGCCGGUUGUCGCGCCAGCGGCACGGCCGGUUGGCUACGUUCGGGAGGGAUAACCGCUGAAAGCAUCUAAGCGGGAAGCCUGCUCCAAGAUUAGGAUUCCAUGGAUCUUCGAGAUUCUGUAGCCCGCAUGUUGAACACGUGUUUGAUAGGCCGGAGGUGGAAGCCCCGUGAGGGGUGGAGCCGACCGGUACUAACGGGCGACGGC
rnacentral:rRNA from 1 species